rnacentral:rRNA from 1 species
GGUUAAGCGACUAAGCGUACACGGUGGAUGCCCUGGCAGUCAGAGGCGAUGAAGGACGUGCUAAUCUGCGAAAAGCGUCGGUAAGGUGAUAUGAACCGUUAUAACCGGCGAUGUCCGAAUGGGGAAACCCAGUGCAAUUCGUUGCACUAUCGUUAACUGAAUACAUAGGUUAACGAGGCGAACCGGGGGAACUGAAACAUCUAAGUACCCCGAGGAAAAGAAAUCAACCGAGAUUCCCCCAGUAGCGGCGAGCGAACGGGGAGCAGCCCAGAGUCUGAAUCAGCUUGUGUGUUAGUGGAACGGUCUGGAAAGUCCGACGGUACAGGGUGAUAGUCCCGUACACCAAAAUGCACAGGUUGUGAACUCGAAGAGUAGGGCGGGACACGUGGUAUCCUGUCUGAAUAUGGGGACCAUCCUCCAAGGCUAAAUACUCCUGACUGACCGAUAGUGAACCAGUACCGUGAGGGAAAGGCGAAAAGAACCCCGGCGAGGGGAGUGAAAAAGAACCUGAAACCGUGUACGUACAAGCAGUGGGAGCACCUUCGGGUGUGACUGCGUACCUUUUGUAUAAUGGGUCAGCGACUUAUAUUCUGUAGCAAGGUUAACCGUAUAGUGGUGCCGCAGGGAAACCGAGUCUUAACUGGGCGUUAAGUUGCAGGGUAUAGACCCGAAACCCGGUGAUCUAGCCAUGGGCAGGUUGAAGGUUGGGUAACACUAACUGGAGGACCGAACCGACUAAUGUUGAAAAAUUAGCGGAUGACUUGUGGCUGGGGGUGAAAGGCCAAUCAAACCGGGAGAUAGCUGGUUCUCCCCGAAAGCUAUUUAGGUAGCGCCUCGUGAACUCAUCUUCGGGGGUAGAGCACUGUUUCGGCUAGGGGGGUCAUCCCGACUUACCAACCCGAUGCAAACUACGAAUACCGAAGAAUGUUAUCACGGGAGACACACGGCGGGUGCUAACGUCCGUCGUGAAGAGGGAAACAACCCAGACCGCCAGCUAAGGUCCCAAAGUCAUGGUUAAGUGGGAAACGAUGUGGGAAGGCACAGACAGCCAGGAUGUUGGCUUAGAAGCAGCCAUCAUUUAAAGAAAGCGUAAUAGCUCACUGGUCGAGUCGGCCUGCGCGGAAGAUGUAACGGGGCUAAACCAUGCACCGAAGCUGCGGCAGCGACACUAUGUGUUGUUGGGUAGGGGAGCGUUCUGUAAGCCUGCGAAGGUGUGCUGUGAGGCAUGCUGGAGGUAUCAGAAGUGCGAAUGCUGACAUAAGUAACGAUAAAGCGGGUGAAAAGCCCGCUCGCCGGAAGACCAAGGGUUCCUGUCCAACGUUAAUCGGGGCAGGGUGAGUCGACCCCUAAGGCGAGGCCGAAAGGCGUAGUCGAUGGGAAACAGGUUAAUAUUCCUGUACUUGGUGUUACUGCGAAGCGGGGACGGAGAAGGCUAUGUUAGCCGGGCGACGGUUGUCCCGGUUUAAGCAUGUAGGCUGGUUAUCCAGGCAAAUCCGGAUAAUCAAGGCUGAGGUGUGAUGACGAGGCACUACGGUGCUGAAGUAACAAAUGCCCUGCUUCCAGGAAAAGCCUCUAAGCAUCAGGUAACAUCAAAUCGUACCCCAAACCGACACAGGUGGUCAGGUAGAGAAUACCAAGGCGCUUGAGAGAACUCGGGUGAAGGAACUAGGCAAAAUGGUGCCGUAACUUCGGGAGAAGGCACGCUGGUGUGUAGGUGAAGUCCCUGCGGAUGGAGCUGAGACCAGUCGAAGAUACCAGCUGGCUGCAACUGUUUAUUAAAAACACAGCACUGUGCAAACACGAAAGUGGACGUAUACGGUGUGACGCCUGCCCGGUGCCGGAAGGUUAAUUGAUGGGGUUAUCCGUAAGGAGAAGCUCUUGAUCGAAGCCCCGGUAAACGGCGGCCGUAACUAUAACGGUCCUAAGGUAGCGAAAUUCCUUGUCGGGUAAGUUCCGACCUGCACGAAUGGCGUAAUGAUGGCCAGGCUGUCUCCACCCGAGACUCAGUGAAAUUGAACUCGCUGUGAAGAUGCAGUGUACCCGCGGCAAGACGGAAAGACCCCGUGAACCUUUACUAUAGCUUGACACUGAACAUUGAGCCUUGAUGUGUAGGAUAGGUGGGAGGCUUUGAAGCGUGGACGCCAGUCUGCGUGGAGCCAACCUUGAAAUACCACCCUUUAAUGUUUGAUGUUCUAACGUUGGCCCCUGACCGGGGUUGCGGACAGUGUCUGGUGGGUAGUUUGACUGGGGCGGUCUCCUCCCAAAGCGUAACGGAGGAGCACGAAGGUUAGCUAAUCCUGGUCGGACAUCAGGAGGUUAGUGCAAUGGCAUAAGCUAGCUUGACUGCGAGCGUGACGGCGCGAGCAGGUGCGAAAGCAGGUCAUAGUGAUCCGGUGGUUCUGAAUGGAAGGGCCAUCGCUCAACGGAUAAAAGGUACUCCGGGGAUAACAGGCUGAUACCGCCCAAGAGUUCAUAUCGACGGCGGUGUUUGGCACCUCGAUGUCGGCUCAUCACAUCCUGGGGCUGAAGUAGGUCCCAAGGGUAUGGCUGUUCGCCAUUUAAAGUGGUACGCGAGCUGGGUUUAGAACGUCGUGAGACAGUUCGGUCCCUAUCUGCCGUGGGCGCUGGAGAAUUGAGGGGGGCUGCUCCUAGUACGAGAGGACCGGAGUGGACGCAUCACUGGUGUUCGGGUUGUCAUGCCAAUGGCACUGCCCGGUAGCUAAAUGCGGAAGAGAUAAGUGCUGAAAGCAUCUAAGCACGAAACUUGCCCCGAGAUGAGUUCUCCCUGAGACUAUAAGUCUCCUGAAGGAACGUUAAAGACGAUGACGUUGAUAGGCCGGGUGUGUAAGCGCAGCGAUGCGUUGAGCUAACCGGUACUAAUGAACCGUGAGGCUUAACCUU